rnacentral:rRNA from 1 species
CCUACGGGAGGCUGCAGUGGGGAAUAUUGCACAAUGGGCGCAAGCCUGAUGCAGCCAUGCCGCGUGUGUGAAGAAGGCCUUCGGGUUGUAAAGCACUUUCAGCGGGGAGGAAGGCGUUAAGGUUAAUAACCUUGUCGAUUGACGUUACCCGCAGAAGAAGCACCGGCUAACUCCGUGCCAGCAGCCGCGGUAAUACGGAGGGUGCAAGCGUUAAUCGGAAUUACUGGGCGUAAAGCGCACGCAGGCGGUCUGUCAAGUCGGAUGUGAAAUCCCCGGGCUCAACCUGGGAACUGCAUUCGAAACUGGCAGGCUAGAGUCUUGUAGAGGGGGGUAGAAUUCGAGGUGUAGCGGGGAAAUGCGUAGAGAUCUGGAGGAAUACCGGUGGCGAAGGCGGCCCCCUGGACAAAGACUGACGCUCAGGUGCGAAAGCGUGGGGAGCAAACAGGAUUAGAUACCCCAGUAGUC